rnacentral:tRNA from 1 species
CUGGUGGCGUGCCGUGAUCGUAUAGUGGUUAGUACUCUGCGUUGUGGCCGCAGCAACCUCGGUUCGAAUCCGAGUCACGGCAGUACCUUGAUGUCGCCUCAAUUUCUCAACGUACUGAGCAGUACCUUGACGUCGCCUCAAUUUUUCAACAUACUGGAGUGGAGACAGUCUCGGAAAAACCCUUGCAAAAUUGAAUUGACUUACGAUCUAAUCUGUACACAAAAAACACUAGUAUUCAUCAUGGUGCCCCAACCAG